AAUCAUUAUGCAGGUUGUUUCUCAAACCCAUUGAACAUAAUGAUCGGACGUCAUCUCCCAAUUUUGAAUUCCCUGUAUUCGAAGCGGAAGAAGAUGAUGUUGAAGGGAUUCCUGACGAGAUUUCCCGACUUCUUGAGUGAGAAAAGAAGAUCACACUCAGCUGCAUCUCGAGAAUCAGCGGAACAGCCAACUGGGGCAUUAUCAAAAAGAAGAAAAAAAAAAUGAAAAAAGAGUAGGGUGCAAAAUCCAAGAAAAAAAAAUAAAAUCAGAAGAAAUCAAAAGGAAGCAAAAUCAAAAGAAAUCAAAAGCAAAAUCAAAAGAAAAC
rnacentral:lncRNA from 1 species